rnacentral:rRNA from 1 species
CAGUAGCCGCGGUAAUACGUAGGUGGCAAGCGUUGUCCGGAAUUAUUGGGCGUAAAGGGCUCGCAGGCGGCUUCUUAAGUCUGAUGUGAAAGCCCCCGGCUCAACCGGGGAGGGUCAUUGGAAACUGGGAAACUUGAGUGCAGAAGAGGAGAGUGGAAUUCCACGUGUAGCGGUGAAAUGCGUAGAGAUGUGGAGGAACACCAGUGGCGAAGGCGACUCUCUGGUCUGUAACUGACGCUGAGGAGCGAAAGCGUGGGGAGCGAACAGGAUUAGAUACCCGCGUAGUCCCUGUCUCUUAUAC